GACGAACGCUGGCGGAGUGCUUAACACAUGCAAGUCGAGCGGAGCGGCGAACGGGUUAGUAACGCGUGAGUAACUGCCCCCCUCUCUGGGAUAACAGGUGGAAACGGCUGCUAAUACCGGAUAGUGGGGGAUGACUCGCGCCCUAUCAGAUUGUUGGGGUGGUAGUGUCAUACCAAGGCGCAGACGGGUAGCCCGCCUGAGAGGGCGACCGGCCACAUUGUGCUGCGAUACGGCCCAUACUCCUACGGGGGGCAGCAGUGGGGAAUAUUGCACAAUGGGGGAAACCCUGAUGCAGCAACGCGCGUGCGUGAUGACGGCCUUCGGGUUGUAAACCGCUUUCAGCCAUGACGCGGUAGUGGCAGAAGAAGCACCGGCUAACUACGUGCCAGCAGCCGCGGUAAUUC
rnacentral:rRNA from 1 species